rnacentral:lncRNA from 10 species
UAAAGGAAAAGAAAAAAAAGGGCCAAUGUCUUCAUUACAAGAUAGACUCCUGAGAAUGCUUAUUCCAGCAAAGAAGAAGAUCUUCCUAAAAAACAAGGUUAUAAGUCACAGUCUGUAAGAAAAGAAAAAGUAAAACAAGAUAGACUCCUGAGAACACUAAUUCCAGCAAAGAAGAAGAAGAUCUUCCUAAAAAACAAGGACUGCAUUGUGCAACUAUGGAAAGACUGGGAGCAAAAAGGGCUCCAGCUUGAGUCCUAAGUUACUCCAAAACUACAUGACUAUUAAAGAGGGAGCAAGUGGAAAAGGACACCAAGAAAGAAGAAACAAGAAGGGGGAGGGGUAGAGAGAGAGAGAGAAGAAAGAAUUGGCAGAAGGAGAAAAGAGAAAGUGCAUGAGGAGCUAUAUCAUACAAGAAAUAAAAAAUGUAUU